GGGAAUAUUGGACAAUGGGGGGAACCCUGAUCCAGCGAUGCCGCGUGUGUGAAGAAGGCCUUCGGGUUGUAAAGCACUUUCAGUGGGGAGGAAAGGCAGUGGAUGAAUAAUCUACUGCUAUGACGUUACCCACAGAAGAAGCACCGGCUAACUCUGUGCCAGCAGCCGCGGUAAUACAGAGGGUGCAAGCGUUAAUCGGACUUACUGGGCGUAAAGGGCGCGUAGGUGGUUAUCUAAGUCAUUUGUGAAAGGUUUGGGCUUAACCCAAGACUAGCAGAUGAGACUGGAAAGCUAGAGUAUAGUAGAGGGAAGUGGAAUUUUCGGUGUAGCGGUGAAAUGCGUAGAUAUCGGAAGGAACAUCAGUGGCGAAGGCGGCUUUCUGGACUAAUACUGACACUGAGGCGCGAAAGCGUGGGGAGCAAACA
rnacentral:rRNA from 1 species